UCCUCACGGUGAUGUUAGCACUGGGCUCCGAGUGUACAUGAGGGAUACACGUGCCACUCAGUGACUUGACACGCUGGGUGCCUGAGUGAGGA